rnacentral:rRNA from 1 species
ACUUGGACUGACUUUUAUGGAUCUCCAUUAAAAACAAAUUCUGGGUUGACCUCGGAUCAGGUAGGGNNNNNNNNNNNNNNNNNNNNNNNNNNNNNNNNNNGGAAAAGAAACCAACAGGGAUUGCCCUAGUAACGGCGAGUGAAGCGGCAAAAGCUCAAAUUUGAAAUCUGGUACUUAUGGUAUCCGAAUUGUAAUUUGGAGAGGCAUCUUCCGAAGGGGUCCAGUCUAUGUUCCUUGGAACAGGACAUCAUAGAGGGUGAGAAUCCCGUUCAUGGCUGGAUAUAUUCUUCAGUAGGUAGUGUCUUCUACGAGUCGAGUUGUUUGGGAAUGCAGCUCAAAAUGGGUGGUAAAUUUCAUCUAAAGCUAAAUAUUGGCGAGAGACCGAUAGCGCACAAGUAGAGUGAUCGAAAGAUGAAAAGCACUUUGAAAAUAGAGUCAAACAGUACGUGAAAUUGUUGAAAGGGAAGCGCUUGAGACCAGACUCAGUCUCGAACAAACAGCUAUCCUUCUGGAUGGUGCACUUGUUCUUGGCUGGGCCAGCAUCAGUUAGGGUGGUGGAAUAAAGGCUUGGGGAAUGUGACUCUACUUAGGAGUGUUAUAGCCUCAGGUGUCAUCUCACCUGCUCUGACUGUGGACCGCGCUUUGGCUAGGAUGCUGGCGUAAUGGUCUUUAGCGGCCCGUCUUGAAACACGGA